rnacentral:rRNA from 1 species
UGGGGAAUUUUGCGCAAUGACCGAAAGGUUGACGCAGCAACGCCGCGUGUAUGAUGAAGGCUUUCGGGUCGUAAAGUACUUUCAGUGGGGAAGAACUGCAUAAUCAGUAACUGGGUUAUGAUUGACGGUACCCACAGAAGCAGCCCCGGCUAACUCCGUGCCAGCAGCCGCGGUAAUACGGAGGGGGCAAGCGUCGUUCGGAGUCACUGGGCGUAAAGAGCUCGUAGGCGGCAGUGUAAGUCGGGAGUUAAAGGCAACAGCUCAACUGUUGUAAGGCUUCUGAAACUACAUUGCUAGAGUGCCAGAGAGGUAUGCGGAAUUCCCUGUGUAGCGGUGAAAUGCGUAGAUAUAGGGAGGAACACCGGUUGCGAAGGCGGCAUACUGGCUGGUAACUGACGCUGAGGAGCGAAAGCGUGGGUAGCAAACA